rnacentral:tRNA from 1 species
CGGGGCGUAGCGUAGGUUGGCUAGCGCGCUUGUUUCGGGUACAAGAGGUCGUGAGUUCAAAUCUCACCGCCCCGACCA